CGGACUACCAAAGCUUUGUGAUGCGCUCUCAAAGAGUCGAGUUGUUUGGGAAUGCAGCUCAAAAUGGGUGGUAAAUUCCAUCUAAAGCUAAAUAUUGGCGAGAGACCGAUAGCGAACAAGUACCGUGAGGGAAAGAUGAAAAGAACUUUGGAAAGAGAGUUAAACARUACGUGAAAUUGCUGAAAGGGAAACGCUUGAAGUCAGUCACGUUUAUUAGAAAUCAACCUUGCUUUUGCUGGGUGUACUUUCUAGUUAACGGGUCAGCAUCAAUUUUGAUUGUUGGAUAAAGGUUAGGGGAAUGUGGCAUCCUCGGAUGUGUUAUAGCCCUUGGUUGCAUACAACGGUUGGGAUUGAGGAACUCAGCACGCCGCAAGGCCGGGUACUUGUACYACGUUCGUGCUUAGGAUGCUGGCAUAAUGGCUUUAAUCGACCCGUCUUGAAACACGG
rnacentral:rRNA from 1 species